rnacentral:rRNA from 1 species
UGGGGAAUAUUGCACAAUGGGCGAAAGCCUGAUGCAGCAACGCCGCGUGAGUGAUGAAGGUCUUCGGAUUGUAAAGCUCUGUCUUUUGGGACGAUAAUGACGGUACCAAAGGAGGAAGCCACGGCUAACUACGUGCCAGCAGCCGCGGUAAUACGUAGGUGGCGAGCGUUGUCCGGAUUUACUGGGCGUAAAGGGUGCGUAGGCGGAUGUUUAAGUGAGAUGUGAAAUACCCGGGCUUAACUUGGGUGCUGCAUUUCAAACUGGAUAUCUAGAGUGCAGGAGAGGAGAAUGGAAUUCCUAGUGUAGCGGUGAAAUGCGUAGAGAUUAGGAAGAACACCAGUGGCGAAGGCGAUCCUCUGGACUGUAACUGACGCUGAGGCACGAAAGCGUGGGUAGCAAACAGGAUUAGAUACCCUGGUAGUCCACGCCGUAAACGAUGAGUACUAGGUGUAGGAGGUAUCGACCCCUUCUGUGCCGCAGUAAAACACAUUAAGUACUCCGCCUGGGAAGUACGAUCGCAAGAUUAAAAC